rnacentral:lncRNA from 1 species
AUGUGGAGUUUUCUGGGCCAGGGAUUGAACCCUCUCCACAGCAGUGACCUGAGCCACAACAGUGACAAUGCCGGAUCCUUAACCCACGAGGCCACCAGGGAACUCCUAAUUACUAUUAUUUUUGAUGAUAAUGAAUUGAUCAAGCUUCCCACAGCUCCCCAGCCCCUCAGGAUAUGGUCAUGCUUCCUUCGGUGGCUCCCAGGACCCCCUUCUCAGUUCCUGAGGACAAGCUUCCUCUUUGCCUCUCAGGUCUUCUCAUUGCAGCUCCAUUGCAUCUUUCAGAUCCUUUCCGAUGCCAUGUUCUCUAGGCCUUUGAAUGUGCUGUUCCCGUUACAUGGAACAUUUUUCUCUGCCUAAAACACAGCUAAUCCCUCUCCCAAUGCCAAGGUCCCUGGCCGAUCUACUCACCUUCUAGGUCUUGCCUUGGAAUCAUUGUGUUUGUGCAAGUCUCCCUUCAUCAGCCCCAUAGUCUUGCACACUCAUAGCCCUCAAUCAUUCAUUCAUUUCAUGGACAUUGUGUCACCUAUGUGCCAGGCACUGUUCUGGGUUUAUCUGCUCCACUGAAUUGUCACUGCCUGGUUCAUACUUAUAUGUGUUAUUGCACUGUAAUUCACAUACCAUAAAAUUCACCCUUUUCUGUGUGUAAUUCAGUGGUUUGUGUGUUUAUAUGUAUAUUUACAAGUUUGUACAGCCAACACCAUCAUCUAAUUCCAGUACAUUUUUCAUCACUCCAAAAAGAAACCCAUUAGCGAUCAUUCUCCCUUCUCCCCUCCUCCCAGGCUUUCUUUCUGUCUGAAUGGAUUUGCCUAUUCUGGACAAUUCUUAUAAGUGGAAUCAGACCAUAUAUGGUCUUUUGUGAUUGGCUUCUUUUACUGAGUGUUUUCAAGGUUCAUUCACGUUGCAGCAUAUAUCAGCACUUUAUUCUAUUUGUGGCUGAAUAAUAGUCCUUUGUAUGGAUGUACCACGUUUACUUUAUCCAUUCAUCAGUUGACUAACCUUUAGGUUAGUGUUUCUUCUAAAGCCCUGUGAGAACAAGACUCCAUAUAUCUCAUGAUUGUAUCCCAGAACCUAGUGUAGUGUCUGGCACUUAUUAAAAAUUCAUAUUUUGGAGUUCCAUAGUGGCACAGUUGAAAUGAAUGCGACUAGGAAACACGAGGUUGCGGGUUCAAUGCCUGGCCUUGCUCAGUGGGUUAAGGAUCUGGCAUUGCCGUGAGCUAUGGUGUAGGUCGCAGACAUGGCUCGGAUCCUGUGUUGCUGUGGCUCUGGCACAGGCUGGUGGCUGUAGCUCUGAUUUGACUUCUAGCCUGGGAACCUCCAUAUGCUGCAGGGGCGCCCUAAAAAGACUGAAAAAAAAAAAAGAAAUUCAUGCUUUGUUCAACAUUAAAAAAAAUUUUUUUUUGGCCAUGCCCGUGGCAAGUGGAAGUUCCUGGGUCAGGGAUUGAACCCAUACCUUAGCAGUCUUCCAAGCUACUGCAGUGAUAUUGGUGAAUACUGAACCUGCUGUGCCACAAGGGAACUCCAGAAUUCAAUUUUUUUUUUUUGUCUUUUUUUUUUUUGCCGUUUCUGCAUAUGGAGGUUCCCAGGCUAGGGGUCAAAUCUCAGCCUACGCCAGAGCCACAGCAACACAGGAUCCGAGCUGCGGCUGCGACCUACACCACAGCCCACGGCAACGCCGGAUCCUUAACCCACUGAGCAAGGCCAGGGAUCGAACCUGCAACUUCAUGGUUCCUAGUCAAAUUCGUUAACCACUGCACCAUGAUGGGAACUCCAGAAUUCAAUAUUUUUUAAAAAGUGUUGAAUGAAUAAUAAAUCAAAAGCUAGUUAGUUACA